CCCUUAGAUGUUCUGGGCCGCACACGCGCUACACUGAAGGAGGCAGCGUGUACUCCUGGAUCGAAAGAUUUGGGUAACCCGCGAAUCUCCUUCGUGCUAGGGAUUGAGGUUUGCAAUUAUCCUUCAUGAACGAGGAAUUCCCAGUAAGUGCAAGUCAUAAGCUUGCGCUGACUACGUCCCUGCCCUUUGUACACACCGCCCGUCGCUACUACCGAUUGAAUGAUUUAGUGAGGACUUCGGACUGGGACCGAUGCGGCUUUCGGGCUGCGUCGGUAUUCUGGAAAGAUGUUCAAACUGUNUNAUUUAUNGGAAGUAAAANUCGUANCA
rnacentral:rRNA from 1 species